CACGUAGGGCGCGAGCGUUGUCCGGAAUUAUUGGGCGUAAAGAGCUCGUAGGCGGUUUGUCGCGUCGAAUGUGAAAACCCGGGGCUCAACCCCGGGCCUGCAUUCGAUACGGGCAGACUAGAGUUCGGUAGGGGAGUCUGGAAUUCCUGGUGUAGCGGUGAAAUGCGCAGAUAUCAGGAGGAACACCGGUGGCGAAGGCGGGACUCUGGGCCGAUACUGACGCUGAGGAGCGAAAGCGUGGGGAGCGAUCCGG
rnacentral:rRNA from 1 species